CAGUAGCCACGGUAACACGUAGGGUGCAAGCGUUAAUCGGAAUUACUGGGCGUAAAGCGUGCGCAGGCGGUCCGCUAAGACAGAUGUGAAAUCCCCGGGCUUAACCUGGGAACUGCAUCUGUGACUGGCGGGCUAGAGUAUGGCAGAGGGGGGUAGAAUUCCACGUGUAGCAGUGAAAUGCGUAGAGAUGUGGAGGAACACCGAUGGCGAGGGCAGCCCCCUGGGCCAAUACUGACGCUCAUGCACGAAAGCGUGGGGAGCAAACAGGAUUAGAUACCCGUGUAGUCCCUGUCUCUUAUAC
rnacentral:rRNA from 1 species